rnacentral:rRNA from 1 species
GACGAACGCUGGCGGCGUGCUUAACACAUGCAAGUCGAACGGAAAGGCCCUGCUUUUGUGGGGUGCUCGAGUGGCGAACGGGUGAGUAACACGUGAGUAACCUGCCCUUGUCUUUGGGAUAACUUCAGGAAACUGGGGCUAAUACCGGAUAUGAGCUCCUGCUGCAUGGUGGUGGUUGGAAAGUUUCGGCGGUUGGGGAUGGACUCGCGGCUUAUCAGCUUGUUGGUGGGGUAGUGGCUUACCAAGGCUUUGACGGGUAGCCGGCCUGAGAGGGUGACCGGCCACAUUGGGACUGAGAUAGGGCCCAGACUGCUACGGGAGGCAGCAGUGGGGAAUAUUGCACAAUGGGCGGAAGCCGGAUGCAGCAACGCCGGGUGCGGGAUGACGGCUUGCGGGUUGUAAACCGCUUUCGCCUGUGACGAAGCGUGAGUGACGGUAAUGGGUAAAGAAGCAACGGCUAACUACGUG